UACAGAGGUCCCGAGCGUUGUUCGGAUUUACUGGGCGUAAAGGGCGCGCAGGCGGCUUCAUAUGUCAGGCGUGAAAGCCCCGGGCUCAACCUGGGAAUGGCAAUGGAUACUGGCAGGCUAGAGUGCGGUAGAGGGUAGUGGAAUUCCCGGUGUAGCGGUGAAAUGCGUAGAGAUCGGGAGGAACACCAGUGGCGAAGGCGGCUACCUGGACCAGCACUGACACUGAGGCACGAAAGCGUGGGGAGCAAACAGG
rnacentral:rRNA from 1 species